AUUGAACGCUGGCGGCAGGCCUAACACAUGCAAGUCGAGCGGAGCUGCGGACGGGUGAGUACUGCCUAGGAAUCUGCCUGUUAGUGGGGUAUAACGUCCGGAAACGGGCGCUAAUACCGCAUACUAUCAGAUCAGCCUAGGUGGUAUUAGCUAGUUGGUGGGGGAAAGGCCUACCAAGGCGAUGAUCCGUAACUGGUCUGAGAGGAGGAUCAGUCACACUGGAACUGAGAAACGGUCCAGACUCCUACGGGAGGCAGCAGUGGGGAAUAUUGGGCAAUGGGCGAAAGCCUGAUCCAGCCAUGCCGCGUGAGUGAAGAAGGUCUUCGGAUUGUAAAGCUCUGUAAGUAGGGAGGCGUUACCAACAGAAUAAGCACCGGCUAACUUCGUGCCAGCAGCCGCGGUAAUAC
rnacentral:rRNA from 1 species